rnacentral:rRNA from 1 species
GAUUCCCCUAGUAACUGCGAGUGAAGAGGGAAGAGCUCAAAUUUAAAAUCUGGCGGUCUCUGGCUGUCCGAGUUGUAAAUUAGAGAAGUGUUAUCCGCUCAAGCCUGUGCAAAAGUCUCUUGGAAAAGGGCAUCAUAGAGGGUGACAAUCCCGUCUUUGGCACAGAUCACUUGCGCUUUUGUGAUGCGCUCUCGAUGAGUCGAGUUGUUUGGGAAUGCAGCUCUAAAUGGGUGGUAAAUUCCAUCUAAAGCUAAAUAUGGGCGAGAAACCGAUAGCGAACAAGUACCGUGAGGGAAAGAUGAAAAGCACUUUGAAAAGAGAGUCAAACAGUAUGUGAAAUUGUUGAAAGGGAAACGCUUGAAGUCAGUCGUAUCCUUCAGAAAUCAACCUGACCUUUGGCUGGGUGCAUUUUUUGUUGGAUGGGUCAGCAUCAAUUUUGAUCAUUGGAUAAAGGACUUGGGAAUGUGGCAUCUUUGGAUGUGUUAUAGCCUCUGUUUGUAUACAAUGAUUGGGAUUGAGGAACUCAGUGUGACUUUGGUUUGGAGGUAUUGCACCUCACACACGCACUUAGGAUGCUGGCAUAAUGGCUUUAAUCGACCCGUCUUGAAACACGGACCAAGGAGUCUAACAUGCAUGCGAGUGUUUGGGUGGAAAACUCAAGCGCGCAAUGAAAGUGAAAGUUGAGAACCCCUUUGGGGUGCAUCGACGCCCGGACUUGAUCUUUUGUGACGGACCUGCGGUAGAGCAUGUAUGUUGGGACCCGAAAGAUGGUGAACUAUGCCUGAUAGGGUGAAGUCAGAGGAAACUCUGAUGGAAGCUCGUAGCGAUUCUGACGUGCAAUCGAUCGUCAAUUUGGGUAUAGGGGCGAAGACUAAUCGACCAUCUAGUAGCU